UACGUAGGCAGCAAGCGUUGUUCGGAGUUACUGGGCGUAAAGAGUGCGUAGGUGGUGCCCUAAGUCUGUCGUGAAAUCCCCGGGCUCAACCUGGGAAUUGCGAUGGAGACUGCAAGGCUAGAAUCUGGCAGAGGGGGGUAGAAUUCCACGUGUAGCAGUGAAAUGCGUAGAGAUGUGGAGGAACACCGAUGGCGAAGGCAGCCCCCUGGGUCAAGAUUGACGCUCAUGCACGAAAGGCGUGGGGAGCAAACGAGGAUUACGAAACCCCGUG
rnacentral:rRNA from 1 species